AAAAGAAGAAACCCUCAUUUUCGUAAUUUCGUCUGCGGCUCCAACUCUGUGUUCUUUGGUUUGAGGUUCGUUCACAUAUUCGAUAAUAUGUUUAUAUUGUCAGUAUAUUUAGAUCAUUAUGCCGUUAGUUCGUUCGUUCGUUCGUUCUACUAGAUGGUGAAUUGUUUUAUUUUAAUAUAUAUUUCUGAUUUCAGUUAAUGGUAGCUUUGUGUUUGUUUUCUUGAUUUUACUGUCUGCCUCGCUUACACUGUGCAGUCUUAUGGUUAAUUUCAUGAAUGUAAUGUUUUUUUUAUGGCAGAAUUCUGUUGAUUUUAUUUAGACCUAAUUAUUGAAAAUAUUAUUUUCGGUUAAUAAUCAAAAAUCAAACUAUGUGUUGUAGUAUGUGAAUCAGUGGAUGUAUAAAGUCUCAUCAUCCAAUAUAUUGCUACUUACUCUGUAUAUGUUUCCGAGUCUUUGUUUGCAUAGUUUGUUAGUAUAUAAGUUACCCGCUAGUGCUAACAAACUAACUUAUAUAGUUUGUUAGUUUAAAAGUAGAUAUAUGAUUUUUUUUAUUUAUUUUUUGUAAAAUGACAAAGUAGAAUGAAUUUAUUUGCAAAAGGAACAAAAAAAGGAGGAACAGUUUGCUUCUAAAGAAAUUGAGAAAUGGUCUGCAAUUUUAAAACCUACUUGAAUUUUGAUGUUCAAUAAAUAUAUAUGUAACUAUUUUAGUUCAUAUUAUUUUGUACACCAAUAAGUUAUGCAAGCAGGGGAAUCCGCCUCCGCUACUCUGUUGGAUAACGUUUUGGUUUCCUAAAAUUUUAUUAUGCUACAACUUCACACAGUAAAAAUCCCAUCUCCGUCCUUA
rnacentral:lncRNA from 1 species